GGGAAAUAUUGCACAAUGGGCGAAAGCCUGAUGCAGCGACGCCGCGUGGGGGAUGAAGGCUUUCGGGUCGUAAACUCCUUUCAGCAGGGACGAAGCUUUUGUGACGGUACCUGCAGGAGAAGCACCGGCUAACUACGUGCCAGCAGCCGCGGUAAUACGUAGGGUGCGAGCGUUGUCCGGAAUUAUUGGGCGUAAAGAGCUUGUAGGCGGUUUGUCGCGUCUGCCGUGAAAGCCCAGGGCUUAACCCUGGGUCUGCGGUGGGUACGGGCAGACUAGAGUGUGGUAGGGGAGACUGGAAUUCCUGGUGUAGCGGUGAAAUGCGCAGAUAUCAGGAGGAACACCGAUGGCGAAGGCAGGUCUCUGGGCCACUACUGACGCUGAGAAGCGAAAGCAUGGGGAGCAAAC
rnacentral:rRNA from 1 species